CGACCGCGCAUGUUCAGUGUCUUGAUUCGGAAGAGCAUUAGUGAAAACAAAAAGAUGAUGGAGACAAAGGAAACGCGCAACGAAAAUGCCCCGGUCGGAAAGAUAGACAAGGGAAAGCCUGUUGCACAUUAGGCUGAAAGUACUACAGUUGUCGACGUCUAUAGCUAGCCAAUUUAGCGAUGCUUAAAUGUCGCUAUAUUGCUAAUGCAUAGAACACACAUCAAGGAGCUGACGGAAGUUACCAAAGCCAAUCGUUUUCACGCAGCAGACCGAAGAAGCUCCCUCUAACAUGCAGGCGACAGCUGAAUCUGCGACGUUGUCAUCAUUCAAUGGACCUGGUAGCAGCGGAACCCCAGGGACGUGCCAUAUUACGUACCGCAGACGGCCAAUGUAGGAGCAAAUCAACGCCAUUUUUACAAAGCAGAGCGAGCACGUUCGUCUUGCCAUCUGAAUGUACAUUAAUGACAAACAAACAAACAAACAAACAAACAAAAAUAAAACAACAGUCUAGCACCAAUAUCAAAGCAAAUACUCUACUAAUCAGGUUGAAGACAAAAAUGUUGUGAUCAAUGGCAAAUGGUUGUAACGAAGUGUGCCGGCCAAUUGUUUUGGGAAGUGCACAGUACCGUAUAUAUGCAUUAUUGAUAUCUUCUUUAUCAGCAAUAUAUGUACGUAUACAUGUAAAUGUUUAUGAAAGUGUUGAACAUUAUUGUGUGUGCAGUUUUUUUUGAGCGUGCAUAUUACUAACUACCACUUUGGCUGAAAACUAUCAAAAAUCGAUGAUACAGCAGUAGUACGACCGGUUGGUUAACAGAACGUCAACAUUUUAAGAAGGCUGCAAUUAAUCGAUGAGGUUUUUCCCUUGAGGAAAUUUUUCGUCUUCUGCACCUGAGAAAAUAUUCACAACUUCUCAGAGAUCUUUGAUUCAUCGGCGGAUUUUUUUGGCAAAACAUUACGAAUCUUUAAAAGAGCAAAGUGAAGUCUUCACUGGUCUUGCCUGUGAGAUUUGCUGAAGCAGAAAGUUGGCUCCGUUAUCUUAGCUUGUAUAAUUUCGUAUUUGGACGUCGAUUGCUAAAUGAAUCCGUUACGAUCUACCAUCUAUUUUAUUAAUGCCAUUAUCUGAUUGCUUUCCUUGAGCAUUUGUUUACGUUUAUAGCACAUAUACGAUAGGCUCGAUCUAUUCAGCCUUUAUCAACACCGAGUCAAUUCGAAUAUCCACGAGAAGAACCAAGGGCAAUUGGUUUUUCGUAAGCACCAUCCAUAUUUGAUUUUUUGGAAACUAACGGCGUGGAAAACAUUUCGCAACUUCUACAUUAUUAUCAUCACGAGUUUCUAUCAUGAUUAACAUCGCCGGGUACAAUUUAUGGCUUGGCAAGGGGCCAGUCUUGUUUUUCUCGUUAAAUUGCUUCUGUUGAGUUUAAAGAAUCUGCUUUAUCGAUGACUGAAAAGCGCUGAGAUGUUCGCGCAGCAUUGAUCGUCUCCUUAUGACCUUUUACUUAAAUGAUCGAUCAGAAGAAGCGUUUCCUCUAUUAGCCGACGGUCGUUCACAAAACUGAUGGGACUGUUAUUACUGACACAAAGUUCUUCAGAAGCAAGUUGACAUCGAUCAGAAGCAGAUUGCGGUGUUUCUCAUUGAGAAACUGGUCAACUUUGUUCCGCUACAGUUAAAAAGAAAAAUGUGAAGAGAAAGUUGCUCAGAGCUAGAACUGCCUUCAUGUUCAUUCUGUCGGCACAAGGCAGAACGAUCCAUAAAAAUAUAUAUAAACUUAUAAAGUUGGCCCAUAAAACCAUCUGAAUCCAGGACAAUUCACCUAUGUGUACCACACUAAAUAGCGUUUUGUCGUUAAUGACGGUCCCAUUUCUACUGGACUAAUGCCUUUACCAACUACUAAUGAGCUAAAAACAAUCCGUUUUUCUUAGCACGAUGAUAACCAUUUCUAAUAAACUCGAUCCAAAACUCCUUGGUAUCUUCUCUGAGCGUUUGAAAUAUCGUUAGUCUUGCUCUCCUCAAAAGGAUCGAGCUGUUAUACGACGGCUGUACAAAGGAACACUGCUGGUCCAUCUUACUGUGGAAGUGCCUUUUUGAUCUAGGAUACCACUUUGGAUUUGGCCAUUGGAUUUUUUUAGUCCUAUACAAUUAGGUUAGACAAGCAUUGCUAACUGCGCAUGCUUGAGUCGUCCCGAUUCCCUCUGAAGUAAUCCGCACCGCAUUAUGUAUGUGUGUGUCACCAUCUCUUCCAAUCCUCAAAACAGUUUUUGAAUGCAAGUGUACGAAUGGAUUCUCACUCGGCCUUCGUUUACCAUAGACUUCCUUAAUCGCUCUCCAGCUUUUUCCUACAGUUUCUUUUGAUCCUUGAGAAGAAAGCAGCUCCACAAAGAGCUAUAUAUUAUAGUGCAUACGGCUUAAGCUCAAGACAACGCGGACAUCGAGUUUCGCUGUGAAAGACGCGGAAGGAGUACCUUAUGCAGGAACUAACGCGUUGUUCUUUCAAAAUGCAAGCCUAUUUUAGUGGGCAACAUUAUAUGAAUAUGUUGAAAC
rnacentral:lncRNA from 1 species